rnacentral:rRNA from 1 species
CCCUUAGAUGUCCUGGGCCGCACGCGCGCUACACUGAUGCAUGCAACGAGUUUAUAACCUUGGCCUGAAAGGUCUGGGUAAUCUUUUGAACGAGCAUCGUGAUAGGGAUAGAUUAUUGCAAUUGUUAAUCUUGAACGAGGAAUUCCUAGUAAACGCGAGUCAUCAGCUCGCAUUGAUUACGUCCCUGCCCUUUGUACACACCGCCCGUCGCACCUACCGAUUGAAUGGUCCGGUGAAGAUCUCGGACUUCGAUAUUUAUUCUUUAUUGAGUUUAUAUUGUGGGAAGUUAUCUAAACCUCAUCAUUUAGAGGAAGGUGAAGUCGUAACA